ACUCUCUCUCUCUCCUGCUCCACCAUGUGAAGACUGUACCUGCUUCUCCUUUGCCUUCCACCAUGAUUGUAAGUUUUCUGAGGCCUCCUAGCCGUGCUUCCUAUACAGCCUGCGGAACUAUUUUUACCUGAAGGAGACACUGAAAGUUUUCAGCUCAAGUUUGCACAUGCGCAGACAAUGCCCACUGCCUGGCUGAUGACAAUACUAAGAUAAUGUGAUAUGCUCUGCAGAGAAUAAGAGAGCCCAUAGGGACAAUUGCACCACCAUGAGUGGAGGUCUGGACAGUUUCAUUGAUGUUUGCCCCAAGUCACCAACAACUUGCAGUGUUCUACAUGGUGACUGCCCCUUCAGCGUUGAGUCCUGUGAUGACAAGGAACAGAACCUCAGCUAAUCCUUGGUGGGCAUGGAACAUAAAUAAGAAAUAAAGCCUUGUUAUUUGAAGGCAGUGACAUUUGAGGGAUGUUUGUUAUUACAGCAUAACCUGUCCUCUCCUGAUUAAUACACUGGAGUAACUAAAGCUAAUCAGUCUUCUGAGCCUUUAACUAAAAACUCACUGUAAAUAUGUAUCACUGUAAAAACUCCAAGAGAUGGUAGGGUAUGCAGUAUUUUCCAAACUAAUUUGACCACAAAAACCAUUUGGAAGAGAAUUUUGUGGGACAUUGAUAUGGUUUCGCUGUGUCCCCACCCAAAUCUCAUCUUGAAUUGUAGCUCCCAAAAUUCCCAUGUGUUGUGGAAGGGACCCAGUGGGAGGUAAUGUAAUCAUGGGGGCGGGUUUUUCCCAAACUGUCCUUGUGAUAGUGAAUACAUCUCACGUGAUCUGAUGGAUUGAUAAAGGGGAGGUCCCCUGUACAUGCCCUUUCUUGCCUGCCACCAUGUAAGAUGUGACUUUGCUCUUCCUUUGCCUUCUGCCAUGAUUGAUUGUGAGGCCUCCUCAGCCAUAUGAAACUGUGAGUCAAUUAAACC